CAAACUGGAGAUGGCGACCGGCGCACGGGUGAGUAACACGUAUCCAACCUGCCGAUAACUCGGGGAUAGCCUUUCGAAAGAAAGAUUAAUACCCGAUGGCAUAAUAGAACCGCAUGGUUUGAUUAUUAAAGAAUUUCGGUUAUCGAUGGGGAUGCGUUCCAUUAGGCAGUUGGUGGGGUAACGGCCCACCAAACCUUCGAUGGAUAGGGGGUUCUGAGAGGAAGGUCCCCCACAUUGGAACUGAGACACGGUCCAAACUCCUACGGGAGGCAGCAUG
rnacentral:rRNA from 1 species